AUUGAACGCUGGCGGCAUGCCUUACACAUGCAAGUCGAACGGUAACGGGCCUUCGGGUGCCGACGAGUGGCGAACGGGUGAGUAAUGCAUCGGAACGUACCUUUCAGUGGGGGAUAACGUAGCGAAAGUUACGCUAAUACCGCAUAUUCUGUGAGCAGGAAAGCAGGGGAUCGCAAGACCUUGCGCUGAGUGAGCGGCCGAUGUCAGAUUAGCUCGUUGGUGAGGUAAAGGCUCACCAAGGCGACGAUCUGUAGCGGGUCUGAGAGGGUGAUCCGCCACACUGGAACUGAGACCCGGUGCAGACUCCUACGGGAGGCAGCAGUGGGGAAUUUUGGACAAUGGGGGCAACCCUGAGCCAGCCAUGCCGCGUGAGUGAAGAAGGCCUUCGGGUUGUAAAGCUCUUUCGGCCGGGAAGAAAUCGUAUGGGCUAAUACCCUGUGCGGAUGACGGUACCGGCAUAAGAAGCACCGGCUAACUACGUGCCAGCCGCCGCCGUAAAAC
rnacentral:rRNA from 1 species